rnacentral:lncRNA from 1 species
UCAAAAAGAACAAGUAAACAUCAGAAACAAAGAAAGCAAAAAACAACAAGCAAACAAAAUCCUAAGUGCCUAGGGGUUGGGAGGCGGAGGCAUUCUCUGAAGCAAUUGAGCUAGCAUGUUCUGAAUAUUGUCGUUGACAGUGUCUUGUUUAUCCAUUCUGGCACGGAGUUCCUUCUGAUCUUUCUUCAGUUCUUCCAGCGUGUGGAGAACCAUAGGAACAACAGAUGAGGACUCCCCCUGAGUCAGAGCCUGAUGUGCUUCAGCAGCGGCCUUUGCUUCAGCUUCAGCAGCAGCCUGUGCUUCAGCUUCGGCAGCAGCAGCAGCAUCAGCCAGAGCUUUAGCUUCAGCUUCCUUUGCCCUUAGGAUUUCAGCUUCCCUUGCUCUUUCU